rnacentral:rRNA from 1 species
AGCGAACGCUGGCGGCAGGCCUAACACAUGCAAGUCGAACGAACCUUCGGGUUAGUGGCGGACGGGUGAGUAACACGUGGGAACGUGCCUUUUGGUUCGGAACAACUCAGGGAAACUUGAGCUAAUACCGAAUGUGCCCUUCGGGGGAAAGAUUUAUCGCCAUUAGAGCGGCCCGCGUCUGAUUAGCUUGUUGGUGAGGUAAAGGCUCACCAAGGCUACGAUCAGUAGCUGGUCUGAGAGGAUGAUCAGCCACAUUGGGACUGAGACACGGCCCAAACUCCUACGGGAGGCAGCAGUGGGGAAUCUUGCGCAAUGGGCGAAAGCCUGACGCAGCCAUGCCGCGUGAAUGAUGAAGGUCUUAGGAUUGUAAAAUUCUUUCACCGGGGACGAUAAUGACGGUACCCGGAGAAGAAGCCCUGGCUAACUUCGUGCCAGCCGCCGCGGUAAGAC